UCGCCUGUUUAUCAAAAACAUCGCCUAAAGAUAUAAAAUUUUAGGUACCGCCUGCCCAGUGAGAACUUCAACGGCCGCGGUAUCCUGACCGUGCAAAGGUAGCAUAAUAAUUUGUCUUAUAAUUUAAGACUAGAAUGAACGGCAUUACGAAAUAAUUUCUGUCUCCCCUUUUAAAUUUUAAAUAAAACUUAAAGUGAAAAUUCUUUAAUUUAACAAAAAGACAAGAAGACCCUAUAGAGCUUCAAUUAUAACCUUUCAAUAAAGUAAAAAUUUUUGCUGGGGCGGCAAGAAAAUAUUUAAAACUUUUCUUUUCAAAAGAUAAAUAAUCAUAAAAUCCUUCUUUAAGAAAUAUAUAGCUACCUUAGGGAUAACAGACUAAUCUUAUUUAAGAGUUCUAAUCGAAAAUAAGGAUUGGCACCUCGAUGUUGGCUUAGGAUAUUUCCUUUUUGCAGCAGAAAAGAAAAAUGGUUUGUUCAACCAUUAAAAUCCUACAUGAUCUGAGUUCAAAACCGGAGA
rnacentral:rRNA from 1 species